CUACAAGGAAUUAGGAAUAGUUCCCCUUAUAACUAAUAAAUAUAAGGUAAAAAGAGGAUGAAUUUCAAGAAAAACUUGCCUUCAUAUCCCUCUGGGGAGUUUACUCCGCGAAGCCAAAGUUGUCAAGUUAACUUGAAGCGAAGCUUAUUUUAUAGUUUAUUAAUAUAUUUAAUAAGAACGUUCAACGACUAGAAGGAAAUUAUCUAUGAUAACAACUUUCCACGAGUAUCCUCGGUCAAUUAACUUUAAAUUUUUGGAGGCAUACUUCUCACGAAGUGCAGCAGCCAGAUGGUGACAUAAUAGUUUAAAGUAAGACUAUGACAUAGUCUGAACCCAUGUGUAAACAUGGG
rnacentral:ncRNA from 1 species